rnacentral:lncRNA from 1 species
AGAAUUGCAACCUUCUUAGAAGUUUCUCGAAAGAUGGCUUGGCACGAGAAGCUACCUUUUGCAUAGACUUGAUCAUGAGGUCUAGAAGGUUCAAAGGGACUUUUUGAAUAAUAUGAUGCAUAACAGUAACAUCCCAUCCUUUCUUAUCUAACGUAGUUUGCAACCCACUACACUUAUCUUUCAACUAAUCUGAACCACUAACGGGUGCCCUG